rnacentral:rRNA from 1 species
AGUGAACGCUGGCGGUAGGCCUAACACAUGCAAGUCGAACGGCAGCACAGUAAGAGCUUGCUCUUACGGGUGGCGAGUGGCGGACGGGUGAGGAAUACAUCGGAAUCUACUUUUUCGUGGGGGAUAACGUAGGGAAACUUACGCUAAUACCGCAUACGACCUACGGGUGAAAGCAGGGGAUCUUCGGACCUUGCGCGAUUGAAUGAGCCGAUGUCGGAUUAGCUAGUUGGCGGGGUAAAGGCCCACCAAGGCGACGAUCCGUAGCUGGUCUGAGAGGAGGGUCAGCGACACUGGAACUGAGACACGGACCAGGGGCCUGAGGGAGGCAGCAGUGGGGAAUAUGGGACAAUGGGCGCAAGCCUUAUCCAGCCAUAGCGCGUGGGUGAAGGAGGCCUUCGGGUUGUAAAGCCCUUUUGUGGGGAGAGAAAAGCAGCAGGUUAAUACCCCGCUGGUCUGACGGUACCCGAAGAAUAAGCACCGGCUAACUUCGUG